GGGUCUCGCUCGUUACCUGACUUAACAGGAUGCUUCACAGUACGAACUGACGACGGCCAUGCACCACCUCUCAGCUAAUCCGGCAAAGUCUUCAGCCUGGCCUUCAUAUUGCUGUCGGUCCCGGUAAGAUUUCCGGCGUUGAAUCCAAUUAAACCGCAAGCUCCACCCGUUGUGGUGCUCCCCCGCCAAUUCCUUUAAGUUUCAGCCUUGCGGCCGUACUUCCCAGGUGGCUCGCUUCACGGCUUCCCUACGGCACCGACAACGGUCGCACCGUGGCCGACACCUAGCGAGUAUCGUUUACGCCUAGGACUACCCGGGUAUCUAAUCCGGUUCGUGCCCCUAGCUUUCGUCCCUUGCCGUCAGGUCCGUUCUGGUGAGACGCCUUCGCCACUGGUGGUCCUUCAAGGAUUACAAGAUUUCACCCCUUACCCCUGAAGUACCUCUCACCUCUCCCGGCCUCGAGCCAGACAGUAUCUCCUGAAAGCCUGACAGUUAAGCUGCCAGAUUUCUCAAGAGACUUAUCCGGCCGGCUACAGACCCUUUAGACCCAAUAAUAACGGUUACCACUCGAGCCGCCGGUGUUACCGCGGCGGCUGGCACCGGUCUUGCCCGGCCCUUGCUAUGAAAUGCUUUUUAGGCAUCUCGACAGCCAGAUUUGUAACCUGGCACUCGAGGUUCCCUUAUCGCUGUUGCCAGCAUUGUAAAGUUUUCGCGCCUGCUGCACCCCGUAGGGCCUGGAUUCGUGUCUCAGAAUCCAUCUCCGGGCUCUUGCUCUCACAACCCGUACCCGUCGUAGGCUAGUAGGUACGCUACACCCACUACUACCUGAUAGGCCGCAGACCCAUCCUUAGGCGCCGGAGCUUUUAAUCUCGGUGCAUUCCAGCGGCCGAGACUUAUAGGGGAUUAUACCCAGUUUCCCGGGUUUAUACCCAACCUAAGGGCAGGUUGUCCACGUGUUACUGAGCAGUACGCCAUGUAUUGCUACAUUCGACUCGCAUGGCUUAGUCGAACCUCGAUAGCAGUAACCUCUGGCAGGAUCAACCGGA
rnacentral:rRNA from 1 species